GGUUAAGUGACUAAGCGUACACGGUGGAUGCCUAGGCAGUCAGAGGCGAUGAAGGGCGUGCUAAUCUGCGAAAAGCGUCGGUAAGGUGAUAUGAACCGUUAUAACCGGCGAUACCCGAAUGGGGAAACCCAGUGUGUUUCGACACAUUAUCAUGUCAUGAAUACAUAGUGGCAUGAGGCGAACCGGGGGAACUGAAACAUCUAAGUACCCCGAGGAAAAGAAAUCAACCGAGAUUCCCCCAGUAGCGGCGAGCGAACGGGGAGGAGCCCAGAACCUGAAUCGGCUUGUGUGUUAGUGGAAGCGUCUGGAAAGUCGCGCAGCAAAGGGUGAUAGCCCCGUACACUAAAAUGCACAGGUCGUGAGUUCGAUGAGUAGGGCGGGACACGUGACAUCCUGUCUGAAUAUGGGGGGACCAUCCUCCAAGGCUAAAUACUCCUGACUGACCGAUAGUGAACCAGUACCGUGAGGGAAAGGCGAAAAGAACCCCGGCGAGGGGAGUGAAAUAGAACCUGAAACCGUGUACGUACAAGCAGUGGGAGCACCUUCGUGGUGUGACUGCGUACCUUUUGUAUAAUGGGUCAGCGACUUAUAUUUUGUAGCAAGGUUAACCGUAUAGGGGAGCCGUAGGGAAACCGAGUCUUAACUGGGCGAAUAGUUGCAAGGUAUAGACCCGAAACCCGGUGAUCUAGCCAUGGGCAGGUUGAAGGUUGGGUAACACUAACUGGAGGACCGAACCGACUAAUGUUGAAAAAUUAGCGGAUGACUUGUGGCUGGGGGUGAAAGGCCAAUCAAACCGGGAGAUAGCUGGUUCUCCCCGAAAGCUAUUUAGGUAGCGCCUCGUGAACUCAUCUUCGGGGGUAGAGCACUGUUUCGGCUAGGGGGCCAUCCCGGCUUACCAAACCGAUGCAAACUCCGAAUACCGAAGAAUGUUAUCACGGGAGACACACGGCGGGUGCUAACGUCCGUCGUGAAGAGGGAAACAACCCAGACCGCCAGCUAAGGUCCCAAAGUCAUGGUUAAGUGGGAAACGAUGUGGGAAGGCAUAGACAGCCAGGAUGUUGGCUUAGAAGCAGCCAUCAUUUAAAGAAAGCGUAAUAGCUCACUGGUCGAGUCGGCCUGCGCGGAAGAUGUAACGGGGCUAAACCAUGCACCGAAGCUGCGGCAGCGACGCUUAGGCGUUGUUGGGUAGGGGAGCGUUCUGUAAGCCGUUGAAGGUGGCCUGUGAGGGUUGCUGGAGGUAUCAGAAGUGCGAAUGCUGACAUAAGUAACGAUAAAGCGGGUGAAAAGCCCGCUCGCCGGAAGACCAAGGGUUCCUGUCCAACGUUAAUCGGGGCAGGGUGAGUCGACCCCUAAGGCGAGGCUGAAAAGCGUAGUCGAUGGGAAACAGGUUAAUAUUCCUGUACUUGGUGUUACUGCGAAGGGGGGACGGAGAAGGCUAGGCUAGCCGGGCGACGGUUGUCCCGGUUUAAGCGUGUAGGGGGUGUGACCUGGUAAAUCCGGUUGCAUGCUAACCCUGAGGCGUGAUGACGAUGCACUACGGUGCAGAAGUAGUUGAUGCCCUGCUUCCAGGAAAAUCCUCUAAGCUCCAGGUAACAUUAAAUCGUACCCCAAACCGACACAGGUGGUCAGGUAGAGAAUACCAAGGCGCUUGAGAGAACUCGGGUGAAGGAACUAGGCAAAAUGGUGCCGUAACUUCGGGAGAAGGCACGCUGGCAUGUAGGUGAAGUCCCUUGCGGAUGGAGCUGAAGCCAGUCGAAGAUACCAGCUGGCUGCAACUGUUUAAUAAAAACACAGCACUGUGCAAACACGAAAGUGGACGUAUACGGUGUGACGCCUGCCCGGUGCUGGAAGGUUAAUUGAUGGGGUCAGCCGCAAGGCGAAGCUCUUGAUCGAAGCCCCAGUAAACGGCGGCCGUAACUAUAACGGUCCUAAGGUAGCGAAAUUCCUUGUCGGGUAAGUUCCGACCUGCACGAAUGGCGUAAUGAUGGCCAGGCUGUCUCCACCCGAGACUCAGUGAAAUUGAACUCGCUGUGAAGAUGCAGUGUACCCGCGGCAAGACGGAAAGACCCCGUGAACCUUUACUAUAGCUUGACACUGAACAUUGAGCCUUGAUGUGUAGGAUAGGUGGGAGGCUUUGAAGCGUGGACGCCAGUCUGCGUGGAGCCAUCCUUGAAAUACCACCCUUUAAUGUUUGAUGUUCUAACUCGGCCCCAUAAUCUGGGGUGAGGACAGUGUCUGGUGGGUAGUUUGACUGGGGCGGUCUCCUCCCAAAGAGUAACGGAGGAGCACGAAGGUUAGCUAAUCACGGUCGGACAUCGUGAGGUUAGUGCAAAGGCAUAAGCUAGCUUGACUGCGAGAGUGACGGCUCGAGCAGGUACGAAAGUAGGUCUUAGUGAUCCGGUGGUUCUGAAUGGAAGGGCCAUCGCUCAACGGAUAAAAGGUACUCCGGGGAUAACAGGCUGAUACCGCCCAAGAGUUCAUAUCGACGGCGGUGUUUGGCACCUCGAUGUCGGCUCAUCACAUCCUGGGGCUGAAGUAGGUCCCAAGGGUAUGGCUGUUCGCCAUUUAAAGUGGUACGCGAGCUGGGUUUAGAACGUCGUGAGACAGUUCGGUCCCUAUCUGCCGUGGGCGUUGGAAGAUUGAGAGGGGUUGCUCCUAGUACGAGAGGACCGGAGUGAACGCACCACUGGUGUUCGGGUUGUCAUGCCAAUGGCAUUGCCCGGUAGCUAAGUGCGGAAAAGAUAAGCGCUGAAAGCAUCUAAGCGCGAAACUUGCCUCAAGAUGAGUCUUCCCUGGGCCUUUAGGGCCCCUGAAGGAACGUUUAAGACUAAGACGUUGAUAGGCUGGGUGUGUAAGUGCAGCGAUGCAUUGAGCUAACCAGUACUAAUGAUCCGUGAGGCUUAACCUU
rnacentral:rRNA from 1 species